ensembl:lncRNA
AUGAAAAAAUGUUGGCACAGCACUCCUGAGGGCCAGUUGGUGGUGAGGGGCAGAGCAACAGGGUGCAGACUUCUGAAUAGUCCUCAAUAUUUUCUCUCACUGCUCUCAUUCUCUGACCUGGGACCACUGAAGCUUUUUUUUUCUCUUUUUGAAUCAGUGCUGGACAGAAUGGCUGCGUACAUCACAGCUUGUCUGUGUUGGGGCUUAUUGUCCCGACUUCUGAUUGCUGCAGGGGCAGUUGAGUGCACAGAAAAUGAAGCACCGGAGAUAAAGCCGAAGCCAAAUACCAUGAAACUGCCAACUGAAUGUUUGAUCGAGUGCAGUUCAAUGACCUACAUCAACAAAUUACAACUUCAGGAUGAUCAUAAUAUACGGAUUACAGAUUCAACUGAAGGAGAACUUGGGGAAUACUGCUGGUCUACCAAGUUAAAGUGCACCAUUGGAGAGAGCUUUGUGAGUGCCUAUGUAGUGCUGCCUGUGGAUGUGUCUAUGACGGAACACGAGCAGCUGCAAGUCAGAACCUCUGCCCCGAGAAGAGACGCGCUUCACAUACACAGCAGCCCCACCACAAUUGCAGACAGCUGUGGCUUUCGUUACGAGGUCACGACGCACUUCAGCACGCCAGAUACGGAAACAUCAUUCUGCGUGCAAAUAGUGAUCCAGGAAGAUGACCUAGGGGACAGGUUACUAAGAUGCCCUCCUUAUUUGGUCACCUUCUGGCAGAGAAACCCGAAUCAGUCUAACAAACAAGGUGCAGGAUAAAGAUUUAACAUUAAGGCACUCAGAUAUUUUACUUGUAAAGCACAGAUAACAUUUUUCAAAGUCUAACUUAUGUAUCUAAUUAGACUAAAUGGAAAAUUAGCAGAAAAGAAAAAAUAACCUACCGGUACACAGUCCCCCCCCCCCCCCCCCCUUUUAUUCCUAAAUUUUUGUGUGAGUAAAACUUUAUCAAUUCAUUUAUUUGGACCUCAUUUAUAAAUGUUAGCGCAAAAGUUAGUUCAAUAAAAUCAUCAAAAUAUAGAAAGAAAUUGUGCAACAGGUUAUUGUUGGGACUAAACAAAAGGUUCACAUGCACCUGAAUGUCACUUUGAUUUUGCUUGAAUGUCACUUUUGCUAUUUGGAUGUCUUUUUUGCCGCUCCAGCCAAAAUAAUUUCUCCAUCGUGGGAUGAAUAAAGUUAUCUUAUCCUUACUCAUGCUCAGUUCUCCUUUGAAUGUCAAGUAAUUAUGGACCCAGUUGCCUCUCUAGACAAUCCUAUCCCUAAUUGUAAUCCUAAUCUUAUCCUUUUAUAUGUUUUGUGUUUAAUAAGCAAUAAACAAAUAUUUAAGGGUGUCCAUUAUAAAUAUUCACAAAAGCACUGAUAUGCAAAAUAAAUUAUUAGGAUAAGAUCUCAAUCAUUUUUAAAGUGAUUAAGUGUAAAUACAGAAAAAGAGAUAUGUGAACGACUGAUUUAAGUGUGGUAGGGCGUUAGAUGUUGUAAAAAUAAAAAUGGAAAAAAAUGUUUUGUCCCUACAUAUUUCCCUGGUUCCUUUGGAUGUUUUCAUCUGGCUUUGUAAAUUUGCAGAUUUUUUGUUCGCACAAAAGUGAAAGAUUAUUAUUUUAAUCAUGGAUAAAUCGGAUGGAACAUGUAUAUGAUGAUAAAAUCCAUGGAUAUUUUUUUCUCUUACCUACGUUAUGCUGCGCUGCAAUGUGAUGUGUGUUGUUCUUUAAACCUAUACGGCAUAAAUACAUUUUUAAAAGAGCAGUUAUUUGAUGAUGAAUCUGUCUUUUUCACAAAAUAAAUAUUUUUCACUUUCUGCUGCGUUCUGCUCGAGGUCUAUUUUAAUUUUUCAUUGACCUCCAAACUAAAUACUUGACUUCUUUUAUUUUGUAAUUGUUGCAUUGUUUUUUGAUUUAAGUUGACAUUUUAGAACAGCAAUAAAUGUUUAACCUUAGAUUUAUUUUAAAAUGUUUAUUUCUUCUUUUAUGGCAAAUUCCUGCUGAUGUCUACAGACAGACCACUGAACCUGUAUACACAAAGCCUGGUAAAAGCUCAAUGAUCUCUCAUUCAAAGCAAAUGCAGUGAUGGAAAAGUUCUCAGUGAAAUAAAAGACGUUUCAAAAAACCACAACAUCUUUGUCUACAGUCAUUUUUACAUGUGUCUGAUAUGAUUAAGACAAAGCAGUUUUAGUGUAUGGAUUCUUUCA